GAUGAAGAACGCAGCGAAAUGCGAUAAGUAAUGUGAAUUGCAGAAUUCAGUGAAUCAUCGAAUCUUUGAACGCACAUUGCGCCCGCCAGUAUUCUGGCGGGCAUGCCUGUCCGAGCGUCAUUUCAACCCUCGAACCCCUCCGGGGGGUCGGCGUUGGGGAUCGGCCCUCCCUUAGCGGGUGGCCGUCUCCGAAAUACAGUGGUGGUCUCGCCGCAGCCUCUCCUGCGCAGUAGUUUGCACACUCGCAUCGGGAGCGCGGCGCGUCCACAGCCGUUAAACACCCAACUUCUGAAAUGUUGACCUCGGAUCAGGUAGGAGUACCCGCUGAACUUAAGCAUAUCAAUAAGCGGAGG
rnacentral:misc_RNA from 1 species